rnacentral:tRNA from 1 species
GGGAUAUAGCUCAGUUGGUAGAGUGCUUGCCUUGCAUGCAAAGCGCCCUGGGUUCAAUCCCCAGUACCACCA